GUUGACCUCGGAUCGGUAGGGACCCCGUGA
rnacentral:rRNA from 1 species